rnacentral:lncRNA from 1 species
UCGUGGUUUGGAAUUUUUGGGAUAGUCAUGUUGUUAAGAAACUCUGUUGGACACAUAUUCUCCAUUGUGUUGUACUUCAUUGUUGCCUUGCAUACAGUGUCCAAGCUUAGGUAUGUCACCUCUUCCCCUUGUAUUUGGCUCAUUAUGUAGUCAUUUAUCUUCUCAACUGUUUCAUUCCUUGGACAUAGUAUUGCUCUUUCUUCGAGAAAUUCACGGUCAUGGUAGUUUUGUUGCAAGUUUGGGUACGUGCUUUUGACUAUCUCUUCUUUGGGGUCUUCUCCUUUAUGUAGAAUUAUGUCUUUAGGUAUUUUUACCCAAUCAUCCCCUUCAUCGUUUGUUCUUUUUCCGUCCCCAAUUUGUAAUAUCCAUGCUGCAAAUUGAGCCACAUUUUGCUUUUGUAUUGGAUCUUCUGACAGGCACUUCAACCGCAUAUUUUCAGUUAGGCUAAAUAUUUCGAUGUGCUUCCAUAGGUAUGACCUUUUGAUUGAGGCAUUUACUAUCUGUUCUCUCCUUCCCUUUGUUAUGACUGGAAGUAUUUGUCUGAAGUCGCCUCCUAGCACCACGGUCAUGCCACCAAAUGGCCUUUCGAGACUGUUUUGGUUUGUGAACCUUAUAAUAUCCCUAAGGCUUUUGUCUAGUGCCUCGAAGCAGUGUUUGUUUGCCUUCGGAGCCUCGUCCCACAAUAUCAGUGAGGUCUUCUUUACCAGUUCAGCCAAAUGUGAGCCUUGUUUUAUUUCACAUGUUGGUUCUUCCGUGAUAUUUAUUGGAAUGUGGAAUCUUGAGUGUGCUGUUCUUCCACCUUGGAGCAGCAAAGCUGCAAUGCCAGAUGAUGCUACCGCAAGCACUAUCUUUCCCUCUGAUCGUAGUUUCGUUGUAAUUGCUUUCCAUUGAUAUGUUUUGCCUGUGCCACCAUAGCCUUCUACAAAUAUCUGUUUUCCAUGUUCUCUCUCAGCUGACUCUAUUAUUGCAUCAAAGGCCAUUUUCUGGUCAUGGUUAAGAUUGCUUAUUAUGGUUUUGUGCUCACCUUUAGUGUUUCCAUGUCGUAGCUAAGUUCUUCAUUUAUCAUUCUGUUCCCAAGUUGUUCAAGUUCUGUAGCAUUUGGUAGUUCUAUGUCUGGAUAGUCCUUUAGUGUCUUUCCUGCUUGCCUCAUUAGUUUCUCUAUCUCGAUCAGAGCAUAUGCUUUUUUUUGUGAAUCAGUGAGCUGCAGCAUAGGAAAGUUUAGGAUAAUUCUUCUUUUGUACUGGAUAUCUUCAGAUAGUGCCUCCCAUGUUGAAUCCCACAACAUCUUUGGGCUGGUAACCUCACAAUGGCAUAAAAUUGUGCUGAAUAGCUGUCGUAAUUGUGUCCCGGAUCCCCAUGUUGAUGCUUCAUUGAUGCAUUCAAUCCACUCACUAUCAUCAUCAAGAAAACCAAGCGUCUGGCAUGCUGAUUUGUAUGUUGGGUGAACAACUCCAUUAACUGUUCUAAUAUCCUCAAAUGAUGUGCAUCCUUUCUUUGUGUUUAGAAGCAUUCUCAUAUAAUACCGCUCUCCACUUGCAGGUGUGCAUAGUAGAUUCAACCAAUAGCAAAGCCUCUUUUCCGCUCCUCCCAAGUUUUGGUGUCGCUUUUCCAUACAAAUUUUGAUGGCAAUUCUGCAUAGGUUAAUUCUUUUCCCACCUCAUGUAUUUUGUUUGCCUCCAUCCACUCAGUGAACUUAGUACUUGCGGUUCCUGGCUUUCUUACUAUCUUCUCGAUGUCAGUUGAGUCUGGAAAAAUAACUUGUUCAUUUUCAAUGUGGAAUGGCAGUCUCUCUACUAGUGGAUCACGAUGGUGUAGUAGAUCAAACUGGAAUAUCCGCCAGCAUGCUUCAGUUGUUGAUAUGUAUCUCAUCUCUAGGUAUUUCUUGAUUUCAUCAUAGUCGUUUGCCGCGUCUCUUUCCUUUAGUAAGGCUGUUACUUGGUCGUCGUCUUUAUGGAUGUACUUAAAUAGGUACUCCCUCCUUCCCAAAAUAUAAGGCACGAUUGACUUUUUACGGUCUUUGAUGCACAACUUUGACCACUAAUAUAUAUCAAAGUAUAUGGAUUGAACAUGUAUAAAUGACAUCGCCGUAUUUGUCUUGCAAAGCAAUUUUAUUUCAUAUGUAUGUAUACUAAUUUUAUAGACAUAUAAUACAUAAAAAUUAUAGUCAAAGUUGUGCAACGAAGACCAGAAAAGUCAAACCGUGCCUUAUAUUUUGGGAAGGAGGGAGUACUUGAUUGACCUGGACCUGUUGCACCACUCGACAUUUAUGUGAGCUCGGAAUUUGACCAAAAGGUUUCGGUUAUAUGGCACGACAAAUCUGUUGUCGAGCAUUGCUCCUCCCUUUUUGAUCGUCCUUCCAUUGUCGCGCCUUCUAUAUACUGGAAAGCCAUCCUCAUCGAUUGUGGCAUCGACAUUAUAUCAUUUUGGGAAGUGUUUAGUGCAUCUAUUGUCCAUCAUGCAUGGUGAUUUUGUAUUUGCCUCUCCGCAAGGCCCGUGCAUCAUGAAGUUUUCAACAGCUGCAUAUCCGUCAGGAUCGACAUCUUUGUCUGGGAUCUCCGCACUGAUUAUUUGAUCGAUUUCUGAUGGUCCUUUGCACUUGUAAUUCUCCUUGAGGAAUACCAAUAUGUGCGCAUGCGGGAGUCCCCUCUUCUGGACUCUAUUGUGUAGAUAACUGCAUUGAUUAAAAGUUUGAUUUUGUUAGAUUUCUGAAGAAUUUUAGUAAAUAGACAAAGGCUAUGGUGUGCUAAAAAAUUUAAACUUUAGGUUCUAUUAGUUAGCAAUGAGAAGUUGGCUGAUCUUACUUGAUAUAGUUUCUCCAAAGUGUUUUUUCACAACGAUGUCUCUCAUUAGCUCCUUCAGUUUUAUCAUGAAUACUCGGUCAAUAAUAUCUGGCGGGUCGGCUGGAUUUAGGCCUCCUCCUGGUUCAUCUAGCAUGUAUUGGAUCUCGGGCCACUUCGUGUUGCAUGUGAAUGUUAUAAACAGGUCUGGAUAUCCAGCCCAACAGCAUAUUGCAAAAGCGUCUUGCAAGUUCUGUGCCUUGUUUCUUCUGCCUCCUGUAUAAGAUGAAGAUACAAUUAUCCUCUUUCCAACCUGCUCUGUUCUGGUGUCCCCUCGCUCAAUCGCGUCCUGCAGUCCACUGUAAAGUUCACUCCGUAGCUUCCCUUGAUUAUUCCUGAUCCAAUUUAGUCUGUUUGCUCAAUGCAUGUGUAAACAUCUACCCAAAAUUGCAGAGACAGAUGUCUAGACGUUAGCAGCGACAUUCCUUGGUCGGGUCUUUGCUGUAGGUAGUAUGCGUAGUAGUCCAGCAUAGUUACAUAUUUCCUGCUUUUGUCAUCUUCUUUUGUUCGGUUGUAAGGUAUUUCAAGCUUGAAGCCGUCUUCUCCGUAUGGAAACAACAAUGGGUAUUGCAUCGACAUUAAUUUUGGAUGGGUUUCCGAUAUUCUGUGAGGCACCAUAUUUUUGUACUCGACAACGAUAUCUCGUCCUUCGCUCUCUCCAGUUAGGUCUCUUACAACCAAUGCUGCAACUUCCGAUGCAGAUGGAAGGUUGUGUGUUCCGUUCCUUUUCCCAAGUAUUCUAAGUGUGUAAUCAUGGUAGUCUUCUUCUUUGAAUCUAUCUCUUGCCAUUCUGAAAGAUUUUGCGAGGACGUUGUUCUCAUCAAGCAUUUUUUUGUAGUUCUUUGACAAUGGCAGGGUCCACAGUUGAUUUAUUAUCAUUGCAUCUUGAAGCAUCUAUCCUGUUUUGCACUUCUGUCUGAUAGAUAUAUAGCUGGGCAAAUCGAGGUUUGUUACCUUCUUCAAGUAGAAGAGUUCCAAUAUGGUGAUAGUUCUGGCCAUGCAGUCUAAAAACAUAUGGUCCUUUGCCUUUGUUUAUUUCUUUGUCAACAGUUCCACCCAUUGAUGUGAAUGAGAACAUUGAGUUGUAUGACCUGAUAUUUUCUCUGAAGUUUGUUGCAUCACUUCCUUCACCUGUUAAUAGUCCUGCGAGGUAAGGUGGAGGAUGUGCCAUCUUUGGUAGGUCAAUCUUACCUUGUUUACAGCAAAUUCCGAAAGAAGGUUUUUUGGUUCCUCUAUGAGAAUUUAAUCUUUUUUCACACCAUAGUAUUGCAUUGCAAUGUUCACAUCUAUAUGUUGGCUUUCCAAAGUUCCAUAUUUUGCUAUAAUAACUCUCGGACGUAGUGCUGCUGUUUGUUUCUUUGAUGUUGCUUCCAAGGUCAUUGUCGCUCCUACUUGUUCUUGCAUGCUUCACAUUUGUUCUUUCUUUGAUUUAUUCCUUUCUCUUCCGUGAAGCAUCUUCUUCUUUUUUAUUGGUUGUUUCCUGUGUAUUCCUGCAUCUCUUACUCCUUUUUUCUUGGAGUUGUUGUUUCCUCCUGAUAAUAGCUUCUCUAGCUUCUUUUGUAAGUUAGCCUGCGGAUUUUGACGUGUACUGUCCCUUCAUUUCUGCAUUGGAUAUUCUUUUAGCAAUAUAGUAUCAUAUAUUUAAAUUCUACUUUAUGUACAAUGUUCUCAAGAGAUUAACAAUAUAUGCAGUAAAUAAGAGAUUCUUGCUGCAUGUAGAAACAACCUAUAAUACUUAUCAUCAUGCUUUCAGGAUUAUUGUGUUGUGUGGUUGGAGCUGCAGUGGAUGGCAUUAUUGCUGUGACAGUGUGCUUGUUUCUCAGUGAACGACAGUUGCUCCAUGGGAAUUAGUACGGCGAAGUACUCUCUAAAAUCAUUUUUAGCACUAUACGUAAAAUUAUUAGGUUCUGCAAUAUUUCAAAGGGCAAUAUUUCAAAUAUAUAUGUUAGAAAAGUACCAAAAAAUAGUAAGCAUUACAUUAAAGAUAGAAAAAGGUCAACAAUAUACCUGAUUGUGUUUUCUUUUUCUUUUUAAUUUUUGUAAAGCUUCACACGCCUGAGCCAAUUAUUGUCGUAAUUGUAUCUUUGCUGCAAAUCAAAUCCUGUAGCGAUUCUGGAUUUUUUUGUAGCAAAUUAUUAAAGCAUAUCUUUGUAUUGCUGCCAUGACUUUAUCAGCCUGUGUGUCAGUUUUAGUUCACAACAGAAGCUGGUACUAUUUUCUCAAAGAAAAUAGAGUUUAUGUCAAGAGCCAAGGCAAGACGUGCGAGGAUAGUUUAUUUCAGUCAGUAUUAUAAUUAUAUGCCUAAAUGUAAAACAAUGUAAUAAUGAAUAAAAAAAUAUGAGGUUGCUUUGAAUUGAUGAUAAUAGUAGUUUUCCACGGAGAGCAUUUACCUUCUAAUCUGAAGUCUGGC